rnacentral:lncRNA from 1 species
CAAAGAUGUGUCUACAUCCUAAUCUCCAGAAUCUGUGAAUGUUACUUUAUGUGGCAAGAGAGAGGCUGAAGGAGAUUUGGUACCAACAGAAGAGGAGGAGGAAAUUGUGAUCAUGCAGAAACUGGAGUGAUGGAGUCACAAGCCAAGGAAUGCCAGCAGCCACCAGAAGCCGAAAGAGGCCCUGCCAACACCUUGAUUUAGGCCUAAUGAAACUGAGUUUAGAUUUCUGGACCCCAGAACUGUGAAAGAAUAAAUUUCUGUUGUGUUAAGCCCC